GUACCCCCCGAUCAGCUCCCCGGGCACGCGCCAGCGCUACAAGGCGGAUUUCGGGGCGGAGCUGCGGCGCUACAAGGAGCUCUGUGCCCACAUGGACGGGCUCAACGAGCGCCUGGCACAGCUGGCAGCACAGCUGGACCAGGUGCCCGAGGACAGCGCCCAGUACCAGGCGCUGGCCGAGGAGUACAACCACCUCAAGGACGUGAAGCGGAGCCCGGAGUACCAGGACAAAAAACGAGAAUCCAAAACUCUCCGGAACAAACUCUUCCACAUCAAAAGGAUGGUGAGCGACUACGACAAACUCCGGGGCUGACCCCGAAGCCACCACCCCAAAAACAAAGGGACAUUUUUAGGGGGGACACCCCAAAAAACCCCCCCCCGACACCCUCCAAAGACUUUUGUGCCUUUUUUUUUGUGUUAAAAAGACCCAAAAUUCCUCGUUUUGAGCCCUCCCCGGUGCCAAGGUGGCGGGGGAUGGUGGCAGCUGUUGGUGUGACCCACCCCCCCCACCUCAAAAUGUCCCCAAAUGUCCCCCACACGUUUGGGACCCCCCCAGUGCCUUCCCCUGGUUGUAAAUAGGGUUUUUUAUGGGGUUUGCACUCCCCUGGCUGCCUUAAAGGGGUUUUGGGGGUCCCAAAUUGGGGUUUGGGGGGACAAAAAAAAAAACCCUUUUGGGUUUUUUAAUUUUGGGGGGGACCCAAAUCCCCAAAAUAUUUCGUAGGGAAUUGGUGGGAACUGUGGGAAUUGUGUAAUAUUUUAAUUGUUUUGUAAUAAAUGAAGUGUAAUUGUU